GAUGAACGCUGGCGGCGUGCCUAAUACAUGCGAGUCGAGCGAACAGACGAGGAGCUUGCUCCUCUGACGUUAGCGGCGGACGGGUGAGUAACACGUGGAUAACCUACCUAUAAGACUGGGAUAACUUCGGGAAACCGGAGCUAAUACCGGAUAAUAUAUUGAACCGCAUGGUUCAAUAGUGAAAGACGGUUUUGCUGUCACUUAUAGAUGGAUCCGCGCCGCAUUAGCUAGUUGGUAAGGUAACGGCUUACCAAGGCAACGAUGCGUAGCCGACCUGAGAGGGUGAUCGGCCACACUGGAACUGAGACACGGUCCAGACUCCUACGGGAGGCAGCAGUAGGGAACCUUCCGCAAUGGGCGAAAGCCUGACGGAGCAACGCCGCGUGAGUGAUGAAGGUCUUCGGAUCGUAAAACUCUGUUAUUAGGGAAGAACAAAUGUGUAAGUAACUAUGCACGUCUUGACGGUACCUAAUCAGAAAGCCACGGCUAACUACGUG
rnacentral:rRNA from 1 species